rnacentral:lncRNA from 1 species
ACCUGCCAAUAACUACUAUUCUUUGCAGCUGCAAACACCUUCAAAAUGAAAGCCAACUUCCAACCGAGCCUGAUGUUCUAACUCCAGAUUUAAGAUUGGAGUAGGGGAAACAGCUAUACAAUUGCCUUGUUCAUCUUGCUGCCGGUCUGAAUGGCUUUAUAAACCUUGGAGAUCAACCCCGACAUAAAAGAAUCUAGUUCAGCUUUAACAUAAGGGAACAUCCUGAUUUUUGAGUGGUUGGAGUCAGCAACGAAUAAAAGGUGUGAGAGGUUUUUUGGAAAACAGAAAAUUCACUGGAAGCAAAGGAAGUUUGGGGGAAGGUGUGGCAGCAUUCAGAACAACAACAAAAAUAAAAGGUAUCGAAGCAAAAUGGUCAUGCUACAGUAUUUUGCUUUGACCCAAACUUGUGCCUUUUGAGGAUGAACUGAGGAUGCUUCACAGCAGUGAGAUGGAGCAAGUUAACUGAAAAAGCUAUGGAAACACGAAGCCAUUUGACCAAGCUUCCCCCAGGGAGAGGCAGACCUCCAGCCGAGG